rnacentral:ncRNA from 2 species
GAUUGUACAAGUUAAUCAUUCCGUAUAUGCUUGGGAAUUGGCUCAAGUGUUUCUACCGGGCAACCGUAAAUUGCCUGACUACGGGAGGGAAAGUGUACCUA